UGCCCUCAGCUGUGUGGAUGCCGGGAUCUUCUUUUCUCGCUGUAGUGCAACGUCAUUCAUACCCUCUCACUGGCUCCCGUCUAGCUGCUGUUUACCGACUGGCACGUGCAUCGGGAAGCCGAACCUGCCUGCUACACGGACGCCUCGAGCCAUUUCCUUCCUUCUUACUUCAGAGCACGUUGGGACCUCCAGCUUCCCAGUGAGCCUUGCAGAGUGUAUAGCCAUUCCCGGUCUAGAAGGUCUGGAAACCUCAAAAGCAGAAAACCGUGGCCAACUCCGUGCUCAAGCACAUCAGGG